GACCAAGUGUUGUUACUUUGAAGCCGAUCCAUAAUCCAAGAUGGCCGCCAGCGGAGGACUUAGUUUAACAUUGGACCCUAUGGGAAAUACAUACAAAUGUCUUCUUUUAGAGAACCACUGAAUGGAAUGAAACCAAACAUGGCAUGAAUGUUCCUUAUGAGGUGCUGACCAAGUGUUGUUACUAUGAAGCCAAUUCAUAAUCCAAGAUGGCCGCCAGCAGGGGACUUAGUUUAACAUUGGACCCAAUGGGAAAUACAUACAAAUGUCUUCUUUUAGAGAACCACUGAAUGGAAUAAAACCAAACAUGGCAUUAAUGUUUCUUAUGAGGUGCUGACCGAGUGUUGUUACUUUGAAGACGAUCCAUAAUCCAAGAUGGCCGCCAGCAGGGGACUUAGUUUAACAUGGGACCCUAUGAGAAAUACAUACAAAUGUCUUCUUUUAGAGAACCACUGAAUGGAAUGAAACCAAACAUGGCAUGAAUGUUCCUUAUGAGGUGCUGACCGAGUGUUGUUACUUUGAAGCGGAUCCAUCAUCCAAGAUGGCCGCCAGCGGGGGACUUAGUUUAACAUAGGACCUUAUGGGAAAUACAUACAAAUGUCUUCUUUUAGAGAACCACUGAAUGGAAUGAAACCAGACAUGGCAUGAAUGUUCCUUAUGAGGUGCUGACUAAGUGUUGUUACUAUGAAGCCGAUCCAUAAUCCAAGAUGGCCGCCAGCAGGGGACUUAGUUUAACAUUGGACCCUAUGGGAAAUACAUACAAAUGUCUUCUUUUAGAGAACCACUGAAUGGAAUGAAACCAAACAUGGCAUUAAUGUUUCUUAUGAGGUGCUGACCGAGUGUUGUUACUUUGAAGCCGAUCCAUAAUCCAAGAUGGCCGCCAGCGGGGGACUUAAUUUAACAUAGGACCCUUUGGGAAAUACAUACAAACGUCUUCUUUUAAAGAACCACUGAAUGGAAUGAAACCAAACAUGGCAUGAAUGUUCCUUAUGAGGUGCUGACAAAGUGUUGUUACUUUGAAGCUGAUCCAUCAUCCAAGAUGGCCGCCAGCGGGAGACUUAGUUUAACAUAGGAGCCUAUGAGAAAUACAUACAAAUGUCUUCUUUUAGAGAACCACUGAAUGGAAUGAAACCAAACAUGGCAUUAAUGUUUCUUAUGAGGUGCUGACCGAGUGAUGUUACUUUGAAGCCGAUCCAUAAUCCAAGAUGGCCGCCAGCAGGGGACUUAGUUUAACAUGGGACCCUAUGGGAAAUACAUACAAAUGUCUUCUUUUAGAGAACCACUGAAUGGAAUGAAACCAAACAUGGCAUGAAUGUUCCUUAUGAGGUGCUGACCGAGUGUUGUUACUUUGAAGCCGAUCCAUAAUCCAAGAUGGCCGCCAGCGGGGGACUUAAUUUAACAUAGGACCCUUUGGGAAAUACAUACAAACGUCUUCUUUUAAAGAACCACUGAAUGGAAUGAAACCAAACAUGGCAUGAAUGUUCCUUAUGAGGUGCUGACCAAGUGUUGUUACUAUGAAGCCGAUCCAUAAUCUAAGAUGGCCGCCAGCGGAGGACUUAGUUUAACAUAGGACCCUAUGAGAAAUACAUAGAAAUGUCUUCUUUUAGAGAACCACUGAAUGCAAUGAAACCAAACAUAGCAUGAAUGUUCCUUAUGAGGUGCUGACCAAGUGUUGUUACUAUGAAGCCGAUCCAUAAUCUAAGAUGGCCGCCAGCGGAGGACUUAGUUUAACAUAGGACCCUAUGAGAAAUACAUACAAAUGUUUUCUUUUAGAGAACCAUUGAAUGGAAUGAAACCAAACAUGGCAUGCAUAUUCCUUUUGAGGUGCUGACCAAGUGUUGUUACUUUGAAGCUGAUCCUUCAUCCAUGAUGGCCGCCAGAUUGGGACAAUGUUUAACAAAGGACCCUAUGGACAAUACAUACAAAUGACUUCUUUUAGAGAACCACAUACUGAAUGGAUUGAAACCAAACAUGGCAAGAAUGUUCCUUAUGAGGUGCUGACUAAGUUUUGUUACUUUGAAGCUGAUCCUUCAUCCAUGAUGGCCGCCAAUGGGGGACUUCCUUUAACAUAAGACCCUAUGGGAAAUACAUACAAAUGCUUCUUCUAGAGGUGCACUGAAUGGAAUGAAACCAAAACAUGGCAUAAAUGUUUCUUAUGAGGUGCUGAUGAAGUGUUGCUACUUUGUUGCCGAUUUACUGUUCAAGAUGGCCACCAGGAUUUUUUAUUAAAUUACAGGACCAAUAUUAAACCAAAUUUGGCCUCACUCAUUAUUAGGGUAUCUGUUAUGAUUUUAAUCUAUUUUUACAUGAUUUCCAAAACCAAAGUAGAAUCAGGUGAGCGACACAGGCUCUUGAGAGCCUCU